rnacentral:rRNA from 1 species
GGCAGCAGUGGGGAAUUUUGGACAAUGGGCGAAAGCCUGAUCCAGCCAUGCCGCGUGUAUGAAGAAGGCCUUAGGGUUGUAAAGUACUUUUGUUAGGGAGGAAAAGCUACAGGUUAAUACCCUGUAGUCAUGACAGUACCUAAAGAAUAAGCACCGGCUAACUACGUGCCAGCAGCCGCGGUAAUACGUAGGGUGCAAGCGUUAAUCGGAAUUACUGGGCGUAAAGCGAGUGCAGGCGGUUUGUUAAGCUAGAUGUGAAAGCCCCGGGCUCAACCUGGGAAUUGCGUUUAGAACUGGCAAGCUAGAGUGUGUCAGAGGGGGGUAGAAUUCCACGUGUAGCAGUGAAAUGCGUAGAGAUGUGGAGGAAUACCGAUGGCGAAGGCAGCCCCCUGGGAUAACACUGACGCUCAUACUCGAAAGCGUGGGUAGCAAACAGGAUUAGAUACCCUGGUAGUCCACGCCCUAAACGAUGACAAUUAGCUGUUGGGGAAUUAAAAGUCCUUGGUAGCGUAGCUAACGCGUGAAAUUGUCCGCCUGGGGAGUACGGUCGCAAGGC